rnacentral:rRNA from 1 species
AUUGAACGCUGGCGGCAGGCCUAACACAUGCAAGUCGAACGAGUGGCGGACGGGUGAGUAAUGUCUGGGAAACUGCCUGAUGGAGGGGGAUAACUACUGGAAACGGUAGCUAAUACCGCAUACCAUCGGAUGUUCCCAGAUGGGCUUAGCUAGUUGGUGGGGUAAAGGCUCACCUAGGCGACGAUCCCUAGCUGGUCUGAGAGGAUGACCAGCCACACUGGAACUGAGUAACGGUCCAUACGCCGACUGGAGGCAGCAGUGGGGAAGAUUGGACAAUGGGCGCAAGCCUGAGGAAGCCAUGCCGGGGGUAUGAAGAAGGCCUUCGGGUUGUAAAGUACUUUCAGCGGGGAGGCGUUACCCGCAGAAGAAGCACCGGCUAACUCCGUGCCAGCAGCCGCGGUAAUUC